UACAGAGGGUGCGAGCGUUACUCGGAAUUACUGGGCGUAAAGCGCGCGUAGGCGGCUUUGCAAGUCGGGUGUGAAAUCCCCAGGCUUAACCUGGGAACUGCAUUCGAGACUGCAUUGCUAGAGUAUGGGAGAGGGCAGUGGAAUUUCCGGUGUAGCGGUGAAAUGCGUAGAUAUCGGAAGGAACAUCAGUGGCGAAAGCGGCCCACUGGGUCUUUUCUGACGCUGAGGAACGAAAGCUAGGGUAGCGAACGGG
rnacentral:rRNA from 1 species